GGGUACACUCAGGUGGAAGGGGUAGAUUUUGAUGAGACUUUUGCCCCAGUUGCUCAUCUUGAGUCCAUUCGUAUUCUUCUUGCUGUUGCAUGUACCUUAGGGUUCAAGCUAUAUCAAAUGGAUGUCAUAAGUGCAUUCUUGAAUGGAAUACUCCAAGAAGAGGCGUACGUUAAACAGUUGAAAGGAUUUAUUGACCCUAAGUUUCCUCAUUAUGUCUACAAACUAAAUAAAGCACUGUAUGGUCCAAAACAAGCUCCUAGAGCUUGGUAUGAUAGACUCACUACUUACCUCAUUGAGCAUGGGUUCUCACGUGGUGGUGCUGACAGAACCUUAUUCAUUAGACAUAUUGAAAAAACUAUCACUGUAGCUUAGAUAUAUGUCGAUGACAUCACCUUUGGCUCUCCCAUUGAUUCCAUUUCUCUUGAAUUUGCUGAAUGCAUGAAACAAGAAUUUGAAAUGAGUAUGGUUGGGGAGCUAAGUUACUUCCUUGGUCUUCAAGUAAAGCAAACUAAUUGUGGGUUGUUUAUCUCUCAAUCAAAAUAUGCCAAAGACCUUGUGAAGAGAUUUAGUUUGGACAGUAAGAAACACACAAGGACACCCAUGAGCACAAAUGUUAAGUUAGGACAUGAUCCUACAAGUAAGAGUGUUGAUCAGACUGUGUAUAGGAGUAUGAUAGGCAGUUUACUAUAUCAUACUGUCAGUAGACUUGACAUAGCGUUUAGUGUUGGUGUAUGUGCUAGAUUUCAAACUGAUCCUAAGUAGUCCCAUCUAAGUGCAGUGAGGCGCAUUAUUAGAUAUGUCAAUGGGACAGUAGAUCAUGGGAUCUUGUAUUCCAAAGAGUCCAAUCUAGAACUAGCCGGCUAUUUUGAUGUCGAUUGGGCUGGAAACGCCGACGAUAGAAAAAGUACCUCGGGUGGAUGUUUCUAUGUUGGUUCUAAUCUUGUCUCCUGGAUGAGUAAGAAACAAAACUCAGUCUCCUUGUCCACAGCCGAGGCAGAAUGCAUUUCAGCUGGUAGCUGUUGCACUUGACUGCUUUGGAUGAAGCAAAUGCUGAGUGACUAUGGGAUAAAUCAGGGUACUCUAACUGUUUUCUGUGACAAUACUAGUGCUAUCAACAUAUCAAAAAAUCCGGUUCAGCAUUCUAGGACCAAACACAUUGACAUUCAUCAUCACUUUAUUCGUGAACUAGUUGAGUCUAAUGUGAUUUCUCUUGAACCCAUCUCUACUGAAAAUCAACUUGCCGAUCUGUUCACUAAACCUCUAGAUGGGUUUAGAUUCGAGUCACUUAGGAAGGCUAUUGGCAUCUUUGUUCCUCCCUGAUCGUCUUCAUAGAUGCAUGCAUUUCUUUUCAUUCAUUACGUUACCUCUGUGUGUUCAUUUGCAUUUAGAAAAAAGGGAGAUUGAUCAUCACAUGUCAUUUUUGCUUUGUAGUUGUUCCCUCGGAGUUGCAAUUUGAAAUCAAAUGUGCAUUCUACACAUGAUUAGUUUGUAAUUCCCGUCACUUAUCCUGAGUCUGUAUGGAGUACUUAGUAUAUGUCACUUCAUAUUAUAUUUGCACAACACACACUAGGACCGUAUGAGUGAGUUUUGACCGCAUGUGUGAGACUUGGGAUGGCUAUCAUCUGUCGUUGAGUAGACAUUGGGUUUGAAUUGAUCUUGGACUAAAUGACCUAACUUCUGGUGUACCCCCGUGGGUUUCCACAGAGUAUUUAUUAUAUCACAUCUUAUACAUAUCUUCGGAGCCUAAAUGACUCGAGCAAUUAAGUCUAAGGGGUUUCUCAUAACCUGGUGCCCUAAAGCCAACUGGUUUGGGAGUCGCCAACCCAACGCUCAUUACAGGGGUCUUCUUAGUAGCUUAAUGGAGAUGGGAUUGCACGUAAAAUUUAAAAUUUUUUUUUAGGUCCUUAACAACAGGGGAAGAAAGAACAGUUUUACACCAUAUUUUAAUGAAGUAUAGGUCAUAGUGGCAUUGGAUUUGACCUUCACACAUCUAAGUGUUGACUCCUACGUCAGUGAUUUGGUUGUCUCUUCUCACAAAUUUAAGGUUUGAGUCUUACUUUCUUGGAAUGAGUGGCACGUUUCACGAGGGGUCACAUAUACAAUUUACUCCAUCUGUACUUGGUUCCAGUGUGUGGGUAACCAUUUUCUAAUCACUGUGCGUGCCGUAUUUGUUAUCUAUUGCCUUUGAUUGGACCAAUUGCCUCUGCAUUGUUCGUGCAUUUUAAAUUUAAAAAAAAAAUUGGGGUCUAAAUUCAAAUUUCUGAAAAAGGUCCUAUUUUUGAAAGUUUCUAAAGGUUGUUACUUUGCUAAAUUUUAAACCUGGGCCUAACUUUUCAACUUUUCAAGUUUAGGUGCUAUUUUUGUCAUUUCCCUGUCGAUUGCUUGUCGCUGGGAUCUCGCUCAAACGACAGAAGCAGUGUCUUUGUCGCUCGCUGUUCGCUCGAGUCUCGCUCGAGCAACAUCGAGACCUUUUAUUUUCUCGCGCCCUUUCGCCUCUUUUUUUUUUUCAUUUCUUCCCUUUCUCUCUCGUUUUUUUUCUCUCAACUCGACACUGGUUGGUCGAUUUGCCUGUAAUACGUUUGGAGAAUUGUUUGACAUAGGACUCGUCAACUCUCCAUUUCUAUUGGAAGUUUUUAUGUGUGUCACAAUUUCAUCUUGAUCUUGUUUAUGUCUAGUUCACGUCCCAUCCGUGUUGCUCAUAGUCCACGGGCUUGUGUGUGAUUGCCUUUUAGGGCUUGUCUAGUUAUGUGUCUCCUUCACUUCGUUUUCCUUGGGGAUUGACUUAUCUUCUACAUCUCGCACUACAGAUGGCACCCAAGUGGGUUAGGACCACAGCUCAGCCUGGCAGUGGAUCGUGUUCGUUUAGUCAUUCUCGGUUCAUUUCCUCCACUGCUCAAGAAGUCUUUGGGAGCCAGUUUUCUCGUCGUCCCAUCCUAGUCGAGCGUGAGGUUACUCUAUCCGAUCUAUCACCUGAUGUGGCAGCUAUCUUUACUUCUCGGGGUUGGGAAUCCUUGUUGAUUGGGUUAAAUCCCCCGCCUAGUCUUCUUGUUCAGGAGUUCUAUGCAAACAUUCAUGACAUUAGUGGUUCGUCCUUCUGGGUGUUCCUCCGGUGUCAAAUCCUUAGGAUUUCCCCUGAUGUUAUUUCCAGUUCCAUACAUGUUCCCUAGGUCAUUCACCCCGUUUAUGCCUAUCUCUUGGCUGAUUCUAUUUCGGCCGAUUCUCUGGUUCGGUCCACCUUGUUUAAUAGCCCUUGGGGGGGCCUGAGGCGAUCCGCACUGGUUCGCUCUCCACCGAUAGGCAAAUUUUGUUGCGUAUUGUGUGUACAAAUUUGUGGCCCAUCUCCCACACUUUUUCCCUACCUAUGGACAAGGUGAGGUUUCUUUUUGCUUUUUCCCUACCGUAUGCUUGCUUAAUCCACCGCUUGGUGACAUCACUUGGGGCUUUCUUUCCCGAUGGGGUCUCACGACGAGUGCUUCGUCCCAUAGGGCACACUACCAUAUCUCAAAGUAGAUCACAUGUCACCUCUUCUGCCUUUGCCUUUGCUCCUGCUGAGCCAACUGAGCCUGUUGACCCGACAGUGCCUGCUGAUCCUUUAGGUGAUUUACUUGCUGAUCUCUCAGCUAUUCCUCUGCCUCCUUCCGAGGUUCCUUCGUCCACUUCAGAUAUUCCCUCUUCUUCCACUUCUAUUCUGCCACCCAACUAGCCUGCUCCAGCUACUGUUCCUGUUGACCCCACUGUCGCACUUAUGAGUCAGAUGUCGAUUCUCAUUGAGCAGCAGGCCUGCAUGAUGGCUGACAUUACUCUUGUUCAGCGCAGUAUUCGGUGGAUGCGUGAGCACUGGGAUUAUGAAUCUGAUGCUGAGGAUUCUGAGGAUGUGGAUGGCGGAGAUGAUGGUCCUUCUUAGUUGAUUGGAGUUCCCCUUGCCAUUUCUGACAAAAAGGGGGGGAGUGUUUUUGGGAUUUAUAAUGAUAAUGUAUUAUAAUGAUAUGGCUGGAUUAUGUAUUGAUGCUUUGCACUAUUGAUGUAUGUUUUUGGUUGUUUGACUUACAUUGAUAUUAAUAUUAUCUCUUAAUCUAGCAUAUUCGUACAUUGUUAUGGCUAUUCAUGACUCUUUACCUUUUAUGUACUUAUGUUACUGUUUCUCGUGCUUUUACACUGGGUAUGUGAGUUGUGAUUUCAGGAGAUAGGUUGAAAGAUGACAAGGCAACAGUGAGUUGAGUCUAUGUAUUGGAUUGUUAUUGCUGCUGUAACUUGAUUUUGUCACAGAAUGCCAAAGGGGGAAUUUGUUAGAUUUUGUGUUGGCUAUUCCAUGAACAAAAGGGUAAAAGUGUAAAUGCUCAAAACUUUGGGGUCAAUUUAUCAAUUAUUAAAGUUUAGGGGUCAUUGUGUACAUGUGUAAAAGAUGAGGGUUAGGAUUCGAUCUAUGAAGUAGGGCAAGAUGUGUCGUCGAAGUUUCACUAGCUGCUCGCCAAGUGGUUGCUCGAGCGACAAAAACAGAAUGGUCGUCGCUCGCUUUUCGCCCCCACUUCGCUCAAGCAAAACAGUGUCGCUCGCUUGUCGCUCGAGCGACAGUGUUACCCAUAAAACCCUAUUUUCCUUUUUUCGACAUUUUAACCCGACCAGAAAUACCAAAAAGAGAUAUACAUGAAAAAAAACCGCGUCGAAUUCAGAUAGUGCUUUGAAGGUAUUGAAAUUGAGGACAACUCUCCUACACUUUAACUUUCUCAUUCAACCCUAUAUUUGAUUUGAUCAAUUACAUGAAAAAGAUCAAAUCAACAUUCAUCAAACACCACAACACAAUCUUCUAGUACCUUUGUUGAUUCUUGGAGAUCGAGA
rnacentral:lncRNA from 1 species